UACUCCUACGGGAGGCAGCAGUGGGGAAUAUUGCACAAUGGGGGAAACCCUGAUGCAGCCAUGCCGCGUGUGUGAAGAAGGCCUUCGGGUUGUAAAGCACUUUCAGUAGGGAGGAAGGUAGUGUAGUUAACACCUGCAUUAUUUGACGUUACCUACAGAAGAAGCACCGGCUAACUCCGUGCCAGCAGCCGCGGUAAU
rnacentral:rRNA from 1 species